rnacentral:rRNA from 1 species
CUACGGGGCGCUGCAGUGAGGAAUUUUGCGCAAUGGGGGGAACCCUGACGCAGCAACGCCGCGUGAGUGAUGAAGGCUUUCGGGUCGUAAAGCUCUGUCAAGUGGGAAGAACCUAUGCAGUGUUAAUAUCACUGUAUACUGACGGUACCACUGAAGGAAGCACCGGCUAACUCCGUGCCAGCAGCCGCGGUAAUACGGGGGGUGCAAGCGUUAUUCGGAAUCAUUGGGCGUAAAGGGCACGUAGGCGGCUUGGUAAGUCAGAUGUGAAAGCCCGGGGCUUAACCCCGGAAGUGCAUUUGAUACUGUCAGGCUUGAGUAUGGGAGAGGGAAGUGGAAUUCCUGGUGUAGAGGUGAAAUUCGUAGAUAUCAGGAGGAACACCGGUGGCGAAGGCGACUUCCUGGACCAAUACUGACGCUGAGGUGCGAAGGCGUGGGUAGCAAACAGGGUUAGAUACCCUCGUAGUC